rnacentral:rRNA from 1 species
AUUGAACGCUGGCGGCAGGCCUAACACAUGCAAGUCGAGCGAGCGGCGGACGGGUGAGUAAUGUCUGGGAAACUGCCUGAUGGAGGGGGAUAACUACUGGAAACGGCAGCUAAUAACGCAUACCAUCAGAUGUGCCCAGGUGGGAUUAGCUAGUAGGUGGGGUAACGGCUCACCUAGGCGACGAUCCCUAGCUGGUCUGAGAGGAUGACCAGCCACACGGGAACUGUGACACGUUCCAGAGUCCUUCGGGAGGCAGCAGUGGGAAAUAUUGCACAAGGGGCGCAAGCCGGAUGCAGCCAUGCCGCGUGUGUGAAGAAGGCCUUCGGGUUGUAAAGCACUUUCUGCGGGGAGGCGUUACCCGCAGAAGAAGCACCGGCUAACUCCGUGCCAGCAGCCGCGGUAAUUC